GGCAGAACCCCCCUCGCCCCGUGCUGAGCUCCAGGACACGUGAGCGGGAUGCAGGGGGAGCAGAGGGCAACCUUGGAUGCGCGCCGCCGUUUCCCCGGGAAAAUGCAUGAGAAGCGGCGCUGUCGAAUCCGACACUGCUGAGGCCUUCUCUGCCAUCUUCUUUUUGUCGUGAAGGGAAAAUAUCUGUGAUGCAGCCAGCUCAGGACUUCAGAUUGCCAAACCUGAGCUUAUAUGCUGGCUGGAGGAAGAGGAGGAACUGUUUGUCUGGGACUGUGAUGAACUGGAAGUAUUGACAGCUGGAAGUGUGCAGGAGACAGGGAAUGAAACAAAGAAG